GCCCACUAGCUAGCUCUCACAUUAAAGUAACAAUUAAUUAUUAAUAUCUUAGAAUAACAUAAAAUAUUAAAUCAAAAACAUUUUACCCUUUGAGUAUAGGCGAUAAAAACA
rnacentral:rRNA from 1 species